rnacentral:rRNA from 1 species
GUGGGGAAUAUUGGACAAUGGACCAAAAGUCUGAUCCAGCAAUUCUGUGUGCUUGAUGAAGGCCUUCGGGUUGUAAAGAGCUUUAAGUAGGGAAGAAGAAAGUGACGGUACCUACAGAAUAAGCGACGGCUAAAUACGUGCCAGCAGCCGCGGUAAUACGUAUGUCGCAAGCGUUAUCCGGAAUUAUUGGGCAUAAAGGGCGUCUAGGCGGUUUAGAAAGUCUGAUGUGAAAAUGCGGAGCUCAACUCCGUAUUGCGUUGGAAACUACUAGACUAGAGUAUUGGAGAGGUAAGCGGAACUACAAGUGUAGAGGUGAAAUUCGUAGAUAUUUGUAGGAAUGCCAAUUGGGAAGCCAGCUUACUGGACAAAUACUGACGCUGAAGCGCGAAAGCUAGGGGAGCAAACAGGAUUAGAAACCCCUGUAGUCC